rnacentral:SRP_RNA from 2 species
GCCGGGUGUGGUGAUGCACACCUGUAGUCCCAGCUACUCAGGAGGCUGAGGCAGGAGAAUCGCUUGAACCCGGGAGAUGGAGGUUGCAGUGAGCCGAGAUCACGCCACUGCACUCCAGCCUGGGCAACAGAGUGAGACUCCGUCUCAA